rnacentral:rRNA from 1 species
AGCUCCAAUAGCGUAUAUUAAAGUUGUUGCAGUUAAAAAGCUCGUAGUUGGAUUUCUGGCAGAAGUGACCGGCCACACACACUGUGUGUGAGUUGUGCAUUUUGGCCAUCCUUGGUGAGAUCCUGUUUGGCAUUAAGUUGUCGGGCAGGGGAUAACCAUCGUUUACUGUGAAAAAAUUAGAGUGUUUAAAGCAGGCUUAUGCCGUUGAAUAUAUUAGCAUGGAAUAAUAAGAUAGGACUUUGAGUCUAUUUUGUUGGUUUGCGAGUCAAAGUAAUGAUUAAUAGGGACAGUUGGGGGUAUUCGUAUUUCAUUGUCAGAGGUGAAAUUCUUGGAUUUCUGAAAGACGAACUACUGCGAAAGCAUUUACCAAGGAUGUUUUCAUUA